rnacentral:lncRNA from 1 species
GCCAGACUGUCCCAGGCUGCAGGGUUGAGAGGAGGUGGAGCCAGCAGUGUCCAGCAGGCCCCUGAAGCCCGGAUGAACACCCUGCCUGUACAUCAUGCCUAGAUGGGACUGGAAGAAUCAGGGCAGCAGAAGGGCCCUGCCCACUGAGGGGGUGCAGGUUCCCCAAGGGUGUUGGUAACGUAGGACCCAGAUAACUACUUGCUGUUCUCACCUGGGGUCUCUCGUCUGGACCCUAGAAUCAGCUGAGCAGCUGGCCUGUCUCCAGUGUUCAGGGGAAGAAAAGGAGUCUGGAGAGACUGCAGACUCCAAGGACCACAUGGCCUGGGGCAGAGCAGGACUUGGGCCAGGGCUGCACUGUCCUCCACAGUACUCCAGAGAGCACCACAGGCAUCACAUGCCAAGACGUCCACACAUACACUUGCCGAUUGUUCAGGGAAGAUUCCUGAGGCCAGGCCCUGGGCCUGUGCAUUCCUGUGGGCAGGGCUGUGAGCCUUAGGAUUCAGACGGACCACAUGGAGUUGCCAGUGUGCAGCUGGUUUUGACCUGCAAGGGGGAGAGUCUUGAAUCCAACUUGGACACCAAGUUUGUCAAAGCAGAACAAAGCCUACUUUGGUUGAUGCCCCACAUUCACAUUGUAUCAGUGCAGUAUCAGGACUUGGGACCUAAGACUGAAGCCUGGCACAGAUGGAGUGGCCAUAGCCACGUGCUGUCCUGGUCCUGGAGAUGGGGACAUAGUGUCAGGGCCUUAGGAGGCAUGGGGCUUGAGAUACUUAGGCUUGCAAGGCAGGGUGUGUGGUUGAGCAGAGGGCACUGGGACACCUCAGGGUCUCCUUGUGGGGGCUCAGAGGACAGCACUCCUUUUCUGCCCCCCCAUGUUGGCAUGGAG